GUACUUGUACUGAUUGAGAUUUUAACACGAAGUGAGUGGCGAACGGGUGAGUAACACGUGGGUAACCUGCCCAGAAGUAGGGGAUAACACCUGGAAACAGAUGCUAAUACCGUAUAACAGAGAAAACCGCAUGGUUUUCUUUUAAAAGAUGGCUCUGCUAUCACUUCUGGAUGGACCCGCGGCGUAUUAGCUAGUUGGUGAGGUAAAGGCUCACCAAGGCAGUGAUACGUAGCCGACCUGAGAGGGUAAUCGGCCACAUUGGGACUGAGACACGGCCCAGACUCCUACGGGAGGCAGCAGUAGGGAAUCUUCCACAAUGGACGCAAGUCUGAUGGAGCAACGCCGCGUGAGUGAAGAAGGGUUUCGGCUCGUAAAGCUCUGUUGUUAAAGAAGAACGUGGGUAAGAGUAACUGUUUACCCAGUGACGGUAUUUAACCAGAAAGCCACGGCUAACUACGUGCCAGCAGCCGCGGUAAUACGUAGGUGGCAAGCGUUAUCCGGAUUUAUUGGGCGUAAAGCGAGCGCAGGCGGUCUUUUAAGUCUAAUGUGAAAGCCUUCGGCUCAACCGAAGAAGUGCAUUGGAAACUGGGAGACUUGAGUGCAGAAGAGGACAGUGGAACUCCAUGUGUAGCGGUGAAAUGCGUAGAUAUAUGGAAGAACACCAGUGGCGAAGGCGGCUGUCUGGUCUGCAACUGACGCUGAGGCUCGAAAGCAUGGGUAGCGAACAGGAUUAGAUACCCUGGUAGUCCAUGCCGUAAACGAUGAUUACUAAGUGUUGGAGGGUUUCCGCCCUUCAGUGCUGCAGCUAACGCAUUAAGUAAUCCGCCUGGGGAGUACGACCGCAAGGUUGAAACUCAAAAGAAUUGACGGGGGCCCGCACAAGCGGUGGAGCAUGUGGUUUAAUUCGAAGCUACGCGAAGAACCUUACCAGGUCUUGACAUCUUCUGACAGUCUAAGAGAUUAGAGGUUCCCUUCGGGGACAGAAUGACAGGUGGUGCAUGGUUGUCGUCAGCUCGUGUCGUGAGAUGUUGGGUUAAGUCCCGCAACGAGCGCAACCCUUAUUACUAGUUGCCAGCAUUAAGUUGGGCACUCUAGUGAGACUGCCGGUGACAAACCGGAGGAAGGGGGGACGACGUCAAUCAUCAUGCCCCUUAUGACCUGGGCUACC
rnacentral:rRNA from 1 species